rnacentral:rRNA from 1 species
AGCUCAAAUAGCGUAUAUUAAAAUUGUUGCGGUUAAAAACCUCGUAGUUGGAUUUCUGCCGAGGACGACCGGUUCGCCCUCUGGGUGAGUAUCUGGCUCGGCCUGGGCAUCUUCUUGGAGAACGUAUCUGCACUUGACUUGUGGUGCGGUAUCCAGGACUUUUACUUUAAGGAAAUUAGAAUGUUUCAAGCAGGCAUACGCCUUGAAUACAUUAGCAUGAAAUAAUAAGAUAGGACCUCGGUUCUAUUUUGUUGGUUUCUAGAGCUGAGGUAAUGAUUAAUAGGGAUAGUUGGGGGCAUUCGUAUUAAUUGUCAAAGGCGAAAUUCUUGGAUUUGUUAAAGACGGACUACUGCGAAAGCAUUUGCCAAGGAUGUUUUCA